rnacentral:lncRNA from 1 species
UUUCUAUUUUUCUUCCACAUCUAGUGUGGUGUAAGGGAUCACAACAAGGCUUUUUUCUAUUUUAUAGUUCUGGGUCUCUUAAUUUCUUUAGAUUUUAACUAUGUAUGCUCUUGACACAAUAUUUAUAUUUGUGUCACCAAGCGGUGGCUUAUACUAUUGAGCAGUAUUAGGAGGGCUAAAAUUUAUAAGAUUAAUACCACAAUUAUUAUUUCUGAUAAUGUUGUUAUAAUGAAUAUAGUGAAAUUUAUCGCGAUAGAUACCUGACAAGAUAUUUAGAACGGAAUAAAUCAAUAGAUAUGAGAUUUAUUACAAAUUUUAUUAGCACUAGAAGCAAAUAGGAAGAAGUUGUAUUGUGUCCUUUGUAAUAGAAUUAUACUAUUAACCAUGCAAUUGUAAUGGUAUAGUAGAGUGUUGAUUUAUUUGCUGAUUCUGGUGAAAUGAUUUGAUUACGGAUUCUAGGAAUAAAUUAGGAUCCUUAAUUAUCUCUAUAAUUAUUCUUUGAUUAUUUGCUUCCUGUUUAGUUGUAUUUCUUUGUGUAUUGUUGACUUAUUUGCUAACCCUAACUGAUUCUAGGGAUAUGAUUUGAUUUGAUUAGGAUCCUUAAUUAUCUCUGUAAUUAUUAUUUGAUUAUUUGCUUCCUGUUUAGAUAUAAUUCUUUGUUUAUAAAUAGUCAUAUAAACCAAUUGUAAAGAUUAAGAGUGAAAUACAAGAAUUCUCCCAAAAAUCAUCAUGGUAUCAGAGCCUUUUCCUGAUUUUAGAGUUCAAAUUUAAUUUUUUCCUCUUUAGGGUUUCAAAACCCUAAAUCUACCUGUAGUAGGAUAAUAUUUAUUGUAUAUCACAAUAGAGAUUACAACCUAUUUAUACAUGAGAGACGGUAACUAAACAGGAAGGAAAAUCAAGCCUAUGAUUAUACAAUCCCUAAGAUUAAGCAACUGACCCAUCUAUCAAUAUUUACUUCCUAUGUUAACAUAUUUACUUUCUAUAACUUAUAACACUCCCCCUCAAGUUGGAUCAUAAAUGUUAAUCAUGCCCAACUUGUUACAUAUAUAAUCAACUCGAGUCCCAUUUAGAGCUUUAGUGAAAAUAUCUCCUAAUUGUUCUCUAGUUCGGAUAUGUCAUGUUGAUAUUAUCUUUUGUUGGACCUUUUCACGAACAAAAUGACAAUCAAUCUCGAUGUGUUUAGUCCUCUCGUGAAAUACUGGAUUGGAGGCAAUGUGGAUAGCUGCUUGAUUAUCACACCACAACUUAGCAGGCACCGAAUUUGUGAACCCAACUUCUUCCAACAGUUGACGUACCCACAAGAUUUCACAAACGGCUUGUGCCAUAGCUCGAUAUUCAGAUUCAGCACUAGAACGGGAGACCACAUUUUGCUUCUUACUUUUCCAUGAGACCAAGUUACCUCCCACAAAAACACAAUAUCCAGUAAUUGACCUCCUAUCAACUUUCGAGCCUGCCCAAUCAGCAUCACAAAAGCAUUAAAUAUUUGAGUGCCCAUGGUUACCAUAGAAUAGGCCUCUCCCUGGGGCCCCUUUAAGGUAACAAAGAAUCUGUCCCAGAGCAUCCCACNNNNNNNNNNNNNNNNNNNNNNNNNNNNNNNNNNNNNNNNNNNNNNNNNNNNNNNNNNNNNNNNNNNNNNNNNNNNNNNNNNNNNNNNNNNNNNNNNNNNNNNNNNNNNNNNNNNNNNNNNNNNNNNNNNNNNNNNNNNNNNNNNNNNNNNNNNNNNNNNNNNNNNNNNNNNNNNNNNNNNNNNNNNNNNNNNNNNNNNNNNNNNNNNNNNNNNNNNNNNNNNNNNNNNNNNNNNNNNNNNNNNNNNNNNNNNNNNNNNNNNNNNNNNNNNNAGUGCAAGUACGUUUACCUUUGCGAAGAGCAAUGGGCAAAUCCAAAUCAAACAAUGAAGGAUCAGUAGGAGCAGGAUCGGUCGACGAAGAAGCGGGUAGCGGAACGGAGUCAGAUUCCUCUAAGCGUCUGGAAUACACAUGAAAGAUGGGAGGGCGACCUGGCACAUGAGCAAAAGGUGUAGGAGUAGGCUGAGGAGACGAAGAGCGAACAGUGUAUAACAAGAGGUCAUCUUCCUCCUCCUGGGUGUUAUAAACAGAUGAUGGCGGAAAAAACGGAGUGGACUCAAAGAAUGUUACAUCCGCAGACACAAGAUACCGAUUCAGAUCAGGAGAAAAACAACGAUACCCUUUCUGACGUCGAGAGUAGCCAAGGAAGACACAUUUGAGUGAUUUGGGAUCCAAUUUAGUAACCUGUGGACGAACAUCACGAACAAAACAAGUACAACCAAAGAGACGCGGCUCAAUAGGAAACAAAGAUUUAGUGGGAAAUAAAAUGUUAUAAGGGAUAUCACCAUGAAGGACGGAGGAAGGCAUGCGAUUGAUAAAAAAACAAGCAGUGGAUACAGCAUCAGCCCAAAAACAUUUAGGUACCUUCAUUUGGAAUAAGAGGGCUCUGGCUACUUCAAGAAAAUGUCGAUUUUUUUUUCAGCAACUCCAUUUUGUGAAGGAGUGGCAACACAAGAGGACUGAUGAAGAAUCCCUUUUUGUAACAAAUAAGAUUGAAAUUCCCCAGAGAGAUACUCUUUAGCAUUAUCACUUUGCAAUAUACGGAUGGAAGUAUUGAAUUGGGUUUGGAUUUCAGCAUAAAAUGCACAAAAAAUAGAAAAUAAUUUUGAACGACUCUUCAUUAAAAAUAACCAAGUAGUACGAGAGAAAUCAUCAACAAAGGUAACAAAAUACUUAAAGUCAGACUUAGACACAACAGGACAAGGACCCCAAACAUCUGAAUGGACUAACUCAAAGGGAGACGAAGCCCGUUUAUUGACUCGAGACAGAGUAGAUAAACAAUGAUGUUUGGCAAAUUGACAAGACUCACAAUCUAGAAUAGACAAAGAAUGAAACUGUGGAUAUAACUUCUUCAAAACCGAGAGAGAAGGAUGCCUUAAACGACAAUGAACAUCAAAAGGUGUUAAACGCGUGGAGCAUACCAGAGAUCGAGGAGAUCGAGGUAGUUGCUGAUCCAAGACGUAAAGACCCUCUGACUCACUUCCUCUACCAAUAAUCUGCUUCGUCGAAAGAUCUUGAAAAACACAGUGAUCAGGAAAGAAUGAGACACAACAAUUCAAUGCACGAGUGAGUUUACUCACGGAAAGCAAAUUAAAUACGAACUUAGGGAGACAUAACACAGAGGAUACAGAAAGAGAAGGGGUUAAGUUGACAUGACCAGAACCCAUGACAGACGAUUUAGUGCCAUCAGCAAGAGUAACAUAAGAAGGCGAUGUAUGAGACUCAAGAUUGGACAAAAGGGUAGAAUUACCUGACAUAUGAUCGGUAGCACCAGAAUCAAUAACCCAUUUGGAGGAUGAAGAUACAAGACAUGCAGUAGAGUUACCUGACUCGGCAAUUGCAGUGAUAGAGGAGUAAUUAGAAGAUUUUAUAGAUGCCUGGUAUUGGAUGAAUUGUGCACACUCAUCUGCAGAUAUCAAAAUUCCCUGAUCGGAAGAUCCAUUCAAUUUGUGUUCCGUGAUUUUAGUCAUCAUAGGAAUCACAUCAGUUACAGUGGUGGUUUUAACUUCAGCCAUAAGGACAACCAACCCAAAAACGAUAGCAACAAAAGAAACACAGAAUCAGAAAACAGUACCCGGCAUGAACAGUACCACGUGAACAGUGCCGAUGAACAGUACCGUGAACAGUGCCGGUGAACAGUACCAACUAAAACACCUCCACCCAACACUCGAACGACAAACAAACCUCAAAUCUGACAAGGAGUCGGUGUGGUGACUCCAGCGAUGGUGAGAUCCAAAUGUUACCCUUUAUGGAUAACCCAAAUGAACGGAGCCCUAAGUCUCCAAAAAAAAAUUUUAAAAUUUUACGAGAGAAAAAAGAGAAAAAAAAUCUCUAUGAAAAAGGCUCUGAUACCAUGUAGUAGGAUAAUAUUUAUUGUAUAUCACAAUAGAGAUUACAACCUAUUUAUACAUGAGAGACGGUAACUAAACAGGAAGGAAAAUCAAGCCUAUGAUUAUACAAUCCCUAAGAUUAAGCAACUGACCCAUCUAUCAAUAUUUACUUCCUAUAUUAACAUAUUUACUUUCUAUAACUUAUAACACUACCUUUUUUGGUACUAACCCAUCUAGGAGCCUUUUCUCCUCUCACCGCCGGCACCAAAACUGUCGCCGGCCGAUCGCCCAGCUCCGACGCCGAAAAAGCCGCACGUGAGGCUCACGCGCCUCCCUUUCCCAGCGCGUGACCAAUCGCCUGACGCUGCUUCGUGGCUCCGAUCACUUCGGCGAUGAUUCCGACCAUCUUUCCGGCCUUCCCGUGCCACUACCCGGUCCUUUGGUGAAUCGAUUGGGCUCUCUUGUGUGUACAACCUUGGAUACCUCCUAUUCUUUCACGGUUCACAAAUCUUUACCAUGGCAGAAGGUAAAAGGAUCUCGAUUCCUAACUCUGAUUCCUCGUCCUCUGGUGUCACAUCUAACUUUGUAAAAUCAAGUAAUGCUUCCUCUCUUAAUAAUAUUCCAUGAAUUAUCGAUUCUGGUGUGAAUAGACACAUGACAGGCUCUUCUAAAAGCUUUCUCAAUUAUUUUCCUUCUCUAACCAAAGAUAGUGUCAGAAUUGCUGAUGGCUCUUUUGCUCCCAUAUCCGGAACAGGUUCUGUUAUUUGCACAUCCAACAUUAAAUUAUCAUCUGUCCUUCAUGUUCCCCACUUUCCUGUCAACUUUUUAUCUGUCAGUGCUAUUACCAAUGCCCUUAAUUGUAAAAUUGAAUUCUUUCCUGAUCAUUGUGUUAUUCAGGAUCUUCACACAGGAAAGAGGAUUGGCAAUGGUAGGCUGCAUGAUGGCUUAUAUAUGUUGGAAGGUGAUCCAGGUUCUUCGAUAUCUCAAGCCUGUUUUGGAGAAAAUAAAGAUGUCAAUCAGGAAAUAAUAUAGUGGCACAGACGGUUAGGGCAUCCAUCAUUUUUUGCCUUAGAAAAACUUUAUCCUAAUUUGUUUGCUAGAACUCAGUUUGAUUCUCUAUUUUGUGAUGCUUGUGAGUAUGCUAAACACACUAGAACAUCCUAUCCUUUAAGUCAUAAUAAAAGUCAAAUUCCUUUUGCGACUAUUUAUUCUGAUGUUUGGGGACUUACUCAAACUGUCUCCUUGUUUGGUAAUCGAUGGUUUGUCACCUUUAUUGAUUGUUGCACUCGAAUGACUUGGGUCUAUUUGAUUAAAGCUAAAAGUGAUGUCUUUUCUUGUUUUCAAUCCUUUCAUAAGAUGGUUUGUACUCAAUUUGAUACUAAGGUGAAAAUUUUGAGAACUGACAAUGGAAGAGAAUACAUGGAUAGUAGCUUUUCUGCUUAUUUGGAGAGUAAUGGGAUAAUACACCAGACUAGUUGUCCUUAUACUAGUGCUCAGAAUGGCAUUGCUGAGAGGAAAAAUAGGCAUCUAUUGGAGGUAGCUCGAUCUCUUAUGUUCACCAUGAAUCUACCCAAAGCAUAUUGGGGAGAUGCAAUUCUUGCAUCUGCUUACCUUAUCAAUAGAAUGCCUCUCAAGACCCUUGACUUUAUGAGUCCUUUGGCGGUUCUACAAGGGAAGAAUUCAUAUGUUGUUCCACCAAAAGUAUUUAGGUGUGUUUGCUUUGUCCAUACUAGGACGGCAGGAAAACUGGAUCCCAAGGCCCUUAAAUGUGCGUUUGUUGGGUAUUCUCCAACACAGAAAUGAUACAAGUGUUAUCAUCCUCCCUCUAGGAAAUACUUAGUUAGUAUGGAUGUUACCUUCCGAGAAACUGAACCUUACUUCAGUACCACCCACUCACCUCUUCAGGGGGAGAAUAAUGAGCAAGAAGAGGUGAUCCCGAAUUCUGUGAUUCUAAAUGAUAUGGUUCAACUAGAAAGUUUGAGUUCUAGUAGACAGGGGGAGAUGUCCAAUCAGGGAGAGAGAACUGGUCGUUUGGACAAGCCAGAUUUGAGAAGAUAUUCGAGGAGAGACAAGGCAGAAGAAGCCAUUAUGCAGUCUACUCAGAGUCAAGAAUCUUCUCCUGGUGAGUUACCCAGUCAUGAAUCUUCUUCUAGUGAGUUACCCAUAACUCUUUCUUCUGGUGAGUUACCCAUAACUCUUGAAUGUUUCAAUGACUUAGAUAAACCUAUUACACAAAGAAAAGGGGUCAGAUCUUGUACUAAACACCCUAUUUCUAACUUUGUUUCUUAUGAAUCUUUAUCUCCUUCCUAUAGAGCAUUUGCCUUGUCUAUUUCCUCUGUGUCUAUUCCACAGGAUUGGAAGAAAGCUCUUGCAGAUCCUAAAUGGAAGAAAGCAAUGAUUGAAGAGAUGAAAGCAUUGGCUAAAAAUGAGACUUGGGAGCUUGUCACUCUCCCACCUGAGAAGAAACUCGUUGGCUGUAAAUAGGUGUUCACAGUGAAACACAAAGCUGAUGGUACAAUUGAACGAUUUAAGGCCAGAUUGGUUGCUAAAGGAUUCGCCCAAACCUAUGGAGUGGAUUACCAAGAGACAUUUGCCCCAGUUGCAAAAAUGAACCCAAUCAGAGUUUUGUUAUCCUGCUCAGCCAACCUGGACUGGGACUUGCAACAGUUUGAUGUGAAGAAUGCUUUCCUCCAUGGAGAUUUAGAGGAAGAAGUGUUCAUGGAAAUUCCUCCUGGGUUCGCUGAUGAGAAGACACAAGGAAAAAGGCGUGCAGGUUAAAAAGGCUUUGUAUGGGCUAAAACAAUCUCCUAGAGCUUGGUUUGACAGGUUUAGCAGAGCCAUGAUGUCCUUUGGUUACCAACAAAGCAAUGCUGAUCACACUCUGUUUAUCAAACAUCACAAGAGUAAGAUCACCCUUCUUAUUGUUUAUGUUGAUGAUAUAGUGGUGACAGGCAAUGACAAAGAGGAAAUGACUCAACUAAAGAGGUUGUUAGCCCAGGAAUUUGAAAUCAAAGAUCUAGGAAAACUGCAAUAUUUCCUAGGUAUCGAGGUGGCUAGAUCAGAAAAAGGAAUUUUCAUCUCCCAAAGAAAGUACAUUCUGGAUCUGUUGGAAGAAACUGGUAUGAUGGGGUGUAAACCAGCAGAAUCUCCCAUUGAAAGUAAUCACAAGCUGGAAGCAGGAACUAGUGAGUCCGUGGAUAUUGGAAGAUACCAAAGAUUGGUAGAAAGGUUGAUUUAUCUCUCACACACUCGACCGGAUAUAGCCUAUGCUGUUAGCUUAGUCAACCAAUUCAUGCAUGACCCUCCCGAGACUCAUAUGCAAGCUAUACUUCGCAUCUUAAGAUACCUAAAGUCUGCUUCAGGGAAAGGACUUCUUUACUCCAAACAUGGUCACCUCCAAGUUGAAACUUUUACAGAUGCAGAUUGGGCAGGAUCUCUCGAUGACAGGAGAUCCACCUCUGGCUACUGCACAGUUAUGGGAGAGAACCUUGUCACUUGGAGGAGCAAAAAACAAAGUGUUGUUGCUCGAUCAAGUGCUGAAGCAGAAUACAGAGCAAUGGCCCAAGGUGUGUGUGAACUCUUAUGGUUACAGAAGUUAUUGGAGGAGUUGAGAUUGCUCGAGAGAGACAAGAUAACUUUAUAUUGUGACAAUAAAGCUGCUAUAAGUAUAGCAUAAAAUCCAGUCCAACAUGACCGGACGAAGCACAUUGAAAUUGAUCGGCACUUCAUUAAAGAAAAAUUAACAGACCGUCUUGAGCCUAGUUCAUGUGACUUCUACUGGGCAACUUGCAGAUGUGUUUACUAAAGGGCUCAACAACAAGAUCUACCAUAAUCUGAUUUGCAAGUUGGGCAUGUGCGACAUCUUUGCACCAACUUGAGGGGGAGUGUUGACUUAUUUGCUAACCCUAACUGAUUCUAGGGAUAUGAUUUGAUUUGAUUUGAUUAGGAUCCUUAAUUAUCUCUGUAAUUAUUAUUUGAUUAUUUGCUUCCUAUUUAGAUAUAAUUCUUUGUCUAUAAAUAGUCAUAUAAACCAAUUGUAAAGAUUAAGAGUGAAAUACAAGAAUUUUCUAAAUUC